rnacentral:rRNA from 1 species
UGGGGAAUAUUGCACAAUGGGGGAAACCCUGAUGCAGCGACGCCGCGUGAGCGAUGAAGGCUUUCGAGUCGUAAAGCUCUGUCCUAUGGGAAGAUAAUGACGGUACCAUAGAAGAAAGCCCCGGCUAAUUACGUGCCAGCAGCCGCGGUAAUACGUAAGGGGCGAGCGUUGUCCGGAAUUAUUGGGCGUAAAGGGUUCGCAGGCGGCAAUGCAAGUCAGAUGUAAAAGGCAGUAGCUUAACUACUGUAAGCAUUUGAAACUGCAUAUCUUGAGAAGAGUAGAGGUAAGUGGAAUUUUUAGUGUAGCGGUGAAAUGCGUAGAUAUUAAAAAGAAUACCGGUGGCGAAGGCGACUUACUGGGCUCAUUCUGACGCUGAGGAACGAAAGCGUGGGUAGCAAACAGG